rnacentral:lncRNA from 1 species
AUGAUAAAAUGCUUUCAAGUGGAACUGAGUGUAUCAAGCUUUGAGACACAGCUUCUACAUAAAACAAUUUUUCCUUCUCUUCCUGCCAUCUACAGAAAAAUCCUUGAUGUUUAUAAGGUUCCUAUCAGGUCUCAGCUGAUAAAGCACCACUUCUUGAUCACCUAUGCUUUGGAUUUGACAUAGGCUUUUGAUGUGAAACUUGCUUUAUUUUUUCAGCCAGUGUAUAUACAGGAAAAAUACUUUGCAGGACAUUGACAGGACUGCUAUCAACUUUUGUCUCCAUUCCCUUUUACACAUUAUGGGACUUCUGGAUGUCUCCUUGUAUGACAAAGAAAGAAGUAAUUCUCCAGUGAGUUACACAUGAGAGGUCUGACAUCCCCUGUGAAAGAAUCCAUUUUCGUAAUUCAAUUUCCUGCUCUGGACAGCUAAUGAGGGAAGACAAGAUUGUAUUUUAGAUGAAACAGAUCAUCCAAGUUGACAGCAUAAUUUACUCUAACAAAUAGGUCUUGUCCUGAACCCACCUUAGAAACACCAACUCUGUUUUUGUUCAGUUCAUGAAGAAAAACAACAUGUUUGUACAUGACAUUCACGUAAAAUGAGUAUAAAUAUCAUCUUAAGGAGUCAUAUAGACUGACAGCACUAGGAUGAGUAGUGAUCACUACCUGCAUUUCCUUACAUGGCACACUCUUAUGGUUUCAAGGAUGUCUUGUUAGUACAGUUUUUUCUGUCAUCAAUCACCUUUCUUACUGCCAUAUUCUCUGUCUUCCAAGCUAUAUAAGUUGUUCUCAUUACAGCUGGCCUUUAUACCUCCUGCAUAUAGUGCUUGGUUUAUUUGUCUAAUAUUAAAUUAAGCCUUAUGUAUCUGUCAUGUCCAAUCAGCUUCAUAAUUUCUGAAAAGAUUUCUCUGUAUGAAUGGCUGCCUGAAGUGAACCUGAGAAAUGGGCAGAAUUUUAGAAGAUAUAAAAUGUCUCCCACAUUUGAAAAAUGUGCUUAUUUACUCUGAUAUUUUAUGCCACAGAGAGAAAUACUAAUUAAAUUUUCUUUCCACAUGCUGUGAUCUGUGCAGGCUAUCUAUAUUCAAAGCACUCAUUUUAUUUGUUUCAUUGUCAUUGCUGAGUCUGUAAAAUAUGAAUUUAGGGGAGAGGAUGAUUUUUUUUUUUAAUAUAAAUUGCUGAAAUGCCUAUUGUCACUGCUUCUGGGAAGUGUUUGUGAAAGUAAUAAUAAACAGAAACAAAUUAUAAAACCA